CGUAGACCCCGGUCAAAAGAAAUUGACCAAACAUAACCGCCAGAGGCGGGUUGGAAGCUUCGCGUACCAAAUAUAGUACAGAAACUGUAUCAAAAUAGCGUUAGUU
rnacentral:sRNA from 1 species